rnacentral:rRNA from 1 species
AACAGGAUUAGAUACCCUGGUAGUCCACGCCGUAAACGAUGUCGACUUGGAGGCUGUUCCCUUGAGGAGUGGCUUCCGGAGCUAACGCGUUAAGUCGACCGCCUGGGGAGUACGGCCGCAAGGUUAAAACUCAAAUGAAUUGACGGGGGCCCGCACAAGCGGUGGAGCAUGUGGUUUAAUUCGAUGCAACGCGCAAAACCUUACCUACUCUUGACAUCCAAAGUACUUUCCAGAGAUGGAAGGGUGCCUUAGGGAACUUUGAGACAGGUGCUGCAUGGCUGUCGUCAGCUCGUGUUGUGAAAUGUUGGGUUAAGUCCCGUAACGAGCGCAACCCUUGUCCUUAGUUGCCAACGCAUAAGGCGGGAACUUUAAGGAGACUGCUGGUGAUAAACCGGAGGAAGGUGGGGACGACGUCAAGUCAUCAUGGCCCUUAAGAGUAGGGCAACACACGUGCUACAAUGGCAAAAACAAAGGGUCGCAAAAUGGUAACAUGAAGCUAAUCCCAAAAAAAUUGUCUAAGUUCGGAUUGGAGUCUGAAACUCGACUCCAUAAAGUCGGAAUCGCUAGUAAUCGUGAAUCAGAAUGUCACGGUGAAUACGUUCUCGGGCCUUGUACACACCGCCCGUCACACCAUGGAAGUGAAAUGCACCAGAAGUGGCAAGUUUAACCAAAAAACAGGAGAACAGUCACUACGGUGUGGUUCAUGACUGGGGUGAGGUCGUAACAAGGUAGCUGUAGGGGAACCUGUGGCUGGAUCACCUCCUU